rnacentral:rRNA from 1 species
AAUUUUGGACAAUGGGGGAAACCCUGAUCUAGCCAUCCCGCGUGUAUGAUGAAGGCCUUCGGGUUGUCCCGUACUUUUGGCAGCGACGAAAAUGCAUCCCAUAAUACGGGAUGCUGCUGACGGUACCUGCAGAAUAAGCACCGGCUAACUACGUACCAGCAGCCGCGGUAAUACGUAGUGUGCAAGCGUUAAUCGGAAUUACUGGGCGUAAAGCGUGUGUAGUCAGUUCGGAAAGAAAGAUGUGAAAUCCCAGGGCUAAACCUUGGAACUGCAUUUUUAACUGCCGAGCUAGAGUAUGUCAGAGGGGGGAGAGUUCCACGUGUAGCAGUGAAAUGCGUAGAUAUGUGGAGGAAUACCGAUGGCGAAGGCAGCCCCCUGGGAUAAUACUGACGCUCAGACACGAAAGCGUGGGGAGCAAACAGG